GCUAGGGGGGUCCGGGGGCAUGCCCCCCCGGAAAAUUUUUGAAAUUUGAAGCCCGGAAAUGCCAUUUCCUGCGUUCUGAGCACUGCAUGUGACCAUUAAAUUUGUCCUCAUUGUAUUCAUUUCUCUAGCAAAAAUAAGCCGAAAUGAUCUCAAAAUGUAAACUAUUGCUCGCGUAUAUUUUAACAUACGAUAUCGGUAUGAUACUCGUAUCAUACGCAUUCAUUAUCAAUUGAAUACCGAAAUGCGCGUAUCAUCUACGAACGCGUGUAUCAUACGAAUACGCAUAUCAUAUGAACCCGCGUAUGAUAUGAAUACGCGUAUCUUACGAAUAUAUACGCAUUACAAACAAAUAUUAGCGCGCUAUAAAACACGAUAUAUAUACGCGCGUAUCAUAAUUCGCGUAUUAAUUCCAAUACAUGCAGGUAUACUGUACAUACGCGCACAAACACUUUAAUAAAGCGAAGUUAAUAGCGAACACUAUACAGUAAAAACUCAAAUUAAAAUAUAAUGUGCAUCUCUUAUCAUUCAUAACGCUUACCUGACUGGAAAUGAUUCGUUUUACUAUCUGAUUUUAUUUCUACCUCGACGCAUAUAAAUCCUUUACGACGGCUUUCAUUUCGAAAUGCGCACAACCGUACUGUGGUCUGUGGGUUCCCAAUAGCAUGUUGUUGAUGAGCGCAACACAAAUAUCAGAUAUUCCAUCGUUCUGGAGCAGCAGCCAAUUUCAUGCCACCGUAGCAAACUAUAGCAUUUGCCCCAUUCCGAUUGGUUUGCUACGUUUGACCGUAGCAAACCAAUCAGAAUGCCGUAUAUGCCAAUUUUCGCUACGGUCAGAUUCGACCUUAAUGAAUCUGACCGUAGCGAAAAUUGAUCAUAUAUGGGCAACACGCUACGGUGUAUUUCUGAA